rnacentral:rRNA from 1 species
UACGUAGGGGGCAAGCGUUGUCCGGAUUUAUUGGGCGUAAAGAGCGUGUAGGCGGCCAUACAGGUCCGUUGUGAAAACUCGAGGCUCAACCUCGAGACGUCGAUGGAAACCGUAUGGCUAGAGUCCGGAAGAGGAGAGUGGAAUUCCGUGGUGUAGCGGUGAAAUGCGCAGAUAUCAGGAAGAACACCCGUGGCGAAGGCGGCUCUCUGGGACGUUACUGACGCUGAGACGCGAAAGCGUGGGGAGCAAACAGG